GACCAAAAAAAAAAAACGCUUCUUAUUCUUUCUCUAUCACGCCUCUAUCUCCUCCUCCUCCUCCUCCUCCUCCCUCUCUCUCUCCACCGCCGUCAGUACAAGAGCACACAACCACCACUGCCAUUGAUAUCACCAUCGCAAACCAGCAGCACCUGAUGGCAACACUCGCAGUUACGGAAAACAUCAAAGGCAAAUCCAUAAUACAAAAAUUAACUACCUCUCUCACCUUUACGCGUUCGUUCGUUCGUUCGUGUCCAGUGUUUUCGUGAUAGAGAACGAGGAAGAAAGGAACUCCCAAAGCGUAGAGAGAGAAAGAGAGAAAAUUGGGGCUGAUGAGGGGAAAAAGUUACAGAGGGUUUUCUUGUUGUUUUUUGGUUUCCCUUAGAGGUUAAAGCCUCUGUAACAAUUCCUAUGUGUUUCUAAACCCCAUCAUUACCUUCAUUUUCCAUUUCCAUUAUCGUUUUCAGAGAGAAAAUCCUGAGGAAAAGCGAGGAAGAUAUAGAGAGAGAGAGUUGUCUUUGGUGCGAGUUUAUCGAUUUUGGGGGCAAAAAUUGGAUCUUGUAGGUUAUUCACAUUGUGGGUAUAUUGGAAAGAAUCAAUGGGUUCGCCUACAUUGUGUUUUUGAAGGAAAUUUAGGGUUUGAUCGCUCUCAAUCUGAUUGAUUUGUGAGAAAAUGGUAUUCACUUUCAAUUGAUUUUUGCAACUAUUUUGUUUUUCUUUCUUUCUUUUUUUUUUUUUGAAUUUUGAUGAUUUUUGAGUUAUAUUUGCUGACCUUAGCUAGUAAUGGGAGCAAAACAGUCUCCCAUUUCACCAAGUGAUGCUGAGGGGAGCACCACCGUCUGCAAUCUCUGUUUCGAAUUCUCUUUCUUCCCGCCGAUUUUUCAAAGUGAUACUGUUCAAUCAAAGUUAUGAAGGUUCUGAUUGCAAGGGAAGCUUUGUUCUUACAGCUUGAAUAGAAUUUUUUUUGGGAAUUUCAUGAUGGCAAUAUUUGUUUGGGUUUAAUUCCAUCCAUAUCUCUUUCUUUCUGUGUUGGUUUAUUGCAGUAUAAAUGCUCAUCGAGGUCUCUGUAAAUAUAUGAAAACAUGUACAUGUAUCAGAAGUAAAUAAUCUAUAUAUAUGAAUAUGUGUAAACAUGUAUUUAUGAUUUUUGUACCCUUGCUGUCUCGGUUUCCUACUUGUAGAAUUUUCCAUAUUUGCAUUGCCAUGUUGUUGUAUGUCUAUUUUUUGUGCCAAGUGUCUGGUGUUUAUUUCCAUGCUAUUUAUGCCAAAUGUUAUUCACAUGUUUGGACAUUGUUGGGUGCUCAUGGUAGGAGUAUGAAUUAUUGAGUUCCAAGAAGCUUCAUAUAAAUUUGUGGUCCAUAGAUUGGAAUUUUUCUUAGCUGGUAACUUUUUAAUUUGAAAAAGUUGCUUUAGGGCUUAAGAGUUGAUUGGUUAUGUGCUUACUUGUCAAACCCAAGAUAUUGAUGCAUAUAUUUAUGCUUCUUGAUCUUUCGAGCUGAACUGCAAUGAAGUGGUGAAUUAAAUAGUUAAAUUAAGGGUGUUGGAUCGAGUUUUAUUAUCUCUCCUAAAAUUAAUUAGUGUUAUAGAGUUUCACUUUUGUCUUUUAUGGAGUUCGACAUCGCACUCCACAGACUUGUUUUUAGAGCAAUCGUAGGGAGCGAGUAUUUUGUAUCAACAAAGGGAAAUAGAUUUAGAUUUAAAUUUAGAUCUAGAGAAAAAAAAAAAGGGAAAAGAAAAAAGGCAAAAGAAGCUAUUAGAGCUUUGAUUUGUGCAUUGAUUUUGUUAAUGUAAAGGACUACAAACAAUUUAAUGGGAGAAUAAAGUCAGCACUUUUAAAGAUUUGAGAUAUAAAGAUUGGGAAAAAUAAUCUACUCAAUGGCUUGAUCGAGAGCCACUAUUGGAUCAAUGGAAAGUUCCAGAGUCAUUCAUCAAGAGAAUCAAGAACCCUAAUGUCUUAUGACAAUAAGGGACAACGUGGGAUCCUCUGUUCCCUUGUCCCCAAACAGUCAUAGGUGUUGAGUUAUACAUCAAGAUUCUUGUUGUUUGAGAUUCUCACAUAAUUCAAUAGUUGUGAGUGUUUUGGGAUAGGGAGACAGAGAGAUUUGCGGGCACAAGAUGAUCCUUGGCCAUUAGGGGCCUUCUUUAUAAAUGAUAAUUAAGAGCAUAGGCAAAGCUUGUACACAUUUUUUGCUGCUAAUAUUACCAAAAUAGAUAGUAGUUUCCAAGCAACUAAAUUAGUUGGAUUGCACUUCUAAACUAACUCAACUUAGGAUGCAUAGAAUUCUAAAAUUCUAGCUAGAAAACUAAUAAUCUUGGUGUAUCGAUACUAUAGAUAAAUUGUUACUGUCGUGCUUGUCUUUUUUAUUUAUAUCAUGCUACAGAGUUAAGAUUAGAGUUUGGAUUAUUUAGUGAGGUUUUUGGUCCCUUUUCUUAUAUUUGUAUAAUAUUGAGCUAUAUAUAUUAUAGCUCUUUAAGGAGACUUCUGAUGAUUUAAAAGUUUUCUUCGGCUUUGGUAUUCUUUUCAUUUAGUGCCAACAGGAGGUUUUUCACCAAGUUUAUUUUCAAGCCUUCAACAGUGAUUCAGGUAUGAGACUGCUCUUGAUUGCGUCAAAUUUGCGACAAAUGACUAAUAAGACGACAUCUAAAAGGCAAACCAAAGCAUCAAACUUAUAGCUAAUGGAAUAAUGAAGGACAUUGAUUAUAGCAAGAUAUUGAAGUUCAAUUAUAGGAACAACUCAUGUUUUCUAUAGAAAGUUGUUCAGAUGUCAUACUCCAAAAGGUCAAGGUGCCUUUGAUAGUCAUUUCUGGACCGUAUGGAGUUGGUAUUUUGGUUUUGGAUUUGGGCUUAGUUUUUGAAGUGUCUCUAAUGUAACUGUUUAUUUGCCACAACUCUAUACAGUUGAGUGCCGAGGCUACAAUGCUUCUUAAAGCAAUUGGAUUUCCUGAUUUGUGUUAAAACUAUUUUUAAGUUUUGUCAAUCAAACUUCAUUAUUACUUGCUUUACAUGUUUUAUUCUUUUAAGGAAUCUAGUCAUUCUGUCGGUCAUUGUAUUACAAAAUAGCCUUAAUAAAUAUUGCUAAAUAUUAAAAGUGAAAAAUAUAAUUCUGCAUAUUAUUAAGUUGGAAACUUUAUUUCCUACAAAUUUCAGGGUUUGUGGGCUAAAUAUUAGAAUUCUGUUUGUUCACUCAAAUUAUUUGGAAUGCAAUUAUAUUCAGAAAGAUUUAACAACCGUGCUUGUGACUGGUGUAUUGAUGCAUACACCAUGAUAGGUUGGCCAUGUAUUGACAGGUUGACAGCUUGAAGGAAAAACUCCUUGAAAAGUUAGAACAAUUCAUUGUCAACCUUGAACUUGAUUCUAGAGAAGUAAGCAAUUCUUCAUUGGAUCAUGAUAGACCUUUUAAAUAAGGAAAUUACCCCGACUCAGUUCCUUCUGCGUUCUACUGCUUCUGAGGCUUCUACUCGGGAAUUUGUAGAAGUGGUCUGUGCUUAUUGGGUAAUAUUCCCUGAGUCAGAGCAGCAACUAAUCAAACUUGCAUAAGACCUUCUUACCAGAUGCUAUCUUUUGAGUAUGUGAUGAUAUCUUCGCAUAUCAAUAUUAAAGCUUACUGUUGAUACUAAAACAAGCUAUAAUAUAUAGGUUUUUUUAUUUAUACUGUCGAUACUUUUGUUUUGUUUUAAAUACAAAUUUGAGUUCUUGAAUUAUCAAAAAUUAUUAAUAUUGUUGAAGGAUGUUUUAUGGGAGCUUUUUU